GACGAACGCUGGCGGCGUGCUUAACACAUGCAAGUCGAACGGAAAGGCCUCUUUCGGGGGGUACUCGAGUGGCGAACGGGUGAGUAACACGUGAGUAACCUGCCCUUGACUUUGGGAUAACUUCAGGAAACUGGGGCUAAUACCGGAUAGGAGCUCCUGCUGCAUGGUGGGGGUUGGAAAGUUUCGGCGGUUGGGGAUGGACUCGCGGCUUAUCAGCUUGUUGGUGGGGUAGUGGCUUACCAAGGCUUUGACGGGUAGCCGGCCUGAGAGGGUGACCGGACACAGUGGGACUGAGAUACGGCCCAGACUCCGACGGGAGGCAGCAGUGGGGAAUAUUGCACAAUGGGUGGAAGCCUGAUGCAGCAACGCCGUGUGCGGGAUGACGGCCUUCGGGUUGUAAACCGCUUUCGCUCAUGACGAAGCUUUGUGUGACGGUAGUGGGUAAAGAAGCACCGGCUAACUACGUG
rnacentral:rRNA from 1 species